rnacentral:rRNA from 1 species
GACGAACGCUGGCGGCGUGCUUAACACAUGCAAGUCGAACGGAAAGGCCCUGCUUUUGUGGGGUGCUCGAGUGGCGAACGGGUGAGUAACACGUGAGUAACCUGCCCUUGACUUUGGGAUAACUUCAGGAAACUGGGGCUAAUACCGGAUAGGAGCUCCUGCUGCAUGGUGGGGGUUGGAAAGUUUCGGCGGUUGGGGAUGGACUCGCGGCUUAUCAGCUUGUUGGUGGGUAGUGGCUUACCAAGGCUUUGACGGGUAGCCGGCCUGAGAGGGUGACCGGCCACAUUGGGACUGAGAUACGGCCCAGACUCCUACGGGAGGCAGCAGUGGGGAAUAUUGCACAAUGGGCGGAAGCCUGAUGCAGCAACGCCGCGUGCGGGAUGACGGCCUUCGGGUUGUAAACCGCUUUCGCCUGUGACGAAGCGUGAGUGACGGUAAUGGGUAAAGAAGCACCGGCUAACUACGUG